rnacentral:rRNA from 1 species
ACGAACGCUGGCGGCGUGCUUAACACAUGCAAGUCGAACGGAAAGGCCCUGCUUUUGUGGGGUGCUCGAGUGGCGAACGGGGGAGUAACACGUGAGUAACCUGCCCUUGACUUUGGGAUAACUUCAGGAAACUGGGGCUAAUACCGGAUAGGAGCUCCUGCUGCAUGGUGGGGGUUGGAAAGUUUCGGCGGUUGGGGAUGGACUCGCGGCUUAUCAGCUUGGUGGUGGGGUAGUGGCUUACCAAGGCUUUGACGGGUAGCCGGCCUGAGAGGGUGACCGGCCCCCUUGGGACUGCGGUACGGCCCAGACUCCUACGGGAGGCAGCAGUGGGGAAUAUUGCACAAUGGGCGGAAGCCUGAUGCAGCAACGCCGCGUGCGGGAUGACGGCCUUCGGGUUGUAAACCGCUUUCGCCUGUGACGAAGCGUGAGUGACGGUAAUGGGUAAAGAAGCACCGGCUAACUACGUG